GACAGAGGAUGCAAGCGUUAUCCGGAAUGAUUGGGAGUAAAGCGUCUGUAGGUGGCUUCUCAAGUCCGCCAUCAAAUCCCAGGGCUCAACCCUGGACAGGCGGUGGAAACUACCAAGUUGGAGUACGGUAGGGGCAGAGGGAAUUUUCGGUGGAGUGGUGAAAUGCAUUGAGAUCGGAAAGAACACCAACGGCGAAAGCACUCUGCUGGGCCAACACUGACACUGAGAGAUGAAAGCUAGGGGAGCAAAUGGG
rnacentral:rRNA from 1 species